UGUUGGACAAUGGGGGAAACCCUGAUCCAGCCAUCCCGCGUGUAUGAUGAAGGCCUUCGGAUUGUAAAGUACUGUUGGCAGGGAAGAAAAGGUAUCUCCUAAUACGAGAUACUGCUGACGGUAUCUGCAGAAUAAGCAACGGCUAACUACGUGCCAGCAGCCGCGGUAAUACGUAGGGUGCAAGCGUUAAUCGGAAUUACUGGGCGUAAAGGGUAGUUAGGCGGUUCGGAAAUAAAGAUGUGAAAACCCAGGGCUCAACCUUGGAACUGCAUUUUUAACUGCCGAGCUAGAGUAUGUCAGAGGGGGGUAGAAUUACACGUGUAGCAGUGAAAUGCGUAGUUAUGUGGAGGAAUACCAAUGGCGAAGGCAGCCCCCUGGGAUAAUACUGACGCUCAGACACGAAAACGUGGGGAGCAAACA
rnacentral:rRNA from 1 species